AUAUCUAUUUACCCGUGAUUAUAAGCGAUUAAGUGCACCUGUACAGUACAAUCCGCCAGCAUCGUUCUUUCACUUUUCUUGCCGUUAAUAUCAACGGGAUGCACAGAUGAUUUUUAUCUUUCUUACUCAAUGUCGUCGGAUGCAAACAGCUGAAAAGGAUGGUGAGCGAGGAGCCGGAUUCUAUCCCGACUGUUUUCGCGGCAAAAGCCACACAAGGAGGCGCGUAACCUUUCGCACUCUCAUCGAGCCUGCCUGAGAAGCUCUGAUAAGACGCACAAACAUCUCAAAAAGGGGAAAAAUCUCAGCGUGACGAGGCAGGAGAAGUGGAAUUGUUUGAUGGAGACGCCGAUUGCUUUUCUCAUGUGUUUUUUUUUUUUUUUUUUGCAAACCCAUGUCGCUGCUGGAGAACAUCUGAAGGGGCGUUUUUUUGUUGUUGUUUUGUUUGGGUUUUUUUUUUUUUCCUUGUUUUUAAGUCUUAUCGCGACGACAGCGAGGCACGGAUUAAAGGCACCUGGGUGGCUCACCUGGAAGCUCCACAGGCUUAUGGCACUGGAGGAUCCUAUAAAAAUUGAGUGUGGAAACUGCAAUUUAAAAGCCCGCGUUAUAGUAAUUUAAUAUGUGACAACAUGGUCAUUUAGCAGCGACGCAUUCCGUUGUAAUGCGCCAGUAACACAAUUCUUCAUCCCGCUCUCACCCUAGUAUUUAUUUGUGCAAAUAAAGGCUUCCUCACAAAUAAGACAAUUGAGUAAAUAAAAAUAAAAAAAACAGGCAAAGUAAAUGUCAGCAUUGUUAUACAGCCACACACCAGUUAUGCCCUCCGUUCUACAUUUAAGUACGCCAGUAAUUGUAAAAAUAUAUCGACCCUGAUAUGCCUUUUUUUUAUUUGUAUUUUUUUUUUUUUAGACACUGUCAACAGUUGAGUUAAAAAAAAAAAAAAAAAAACAAUAACAAACUAAAAUCCUUCUCUCGAGCACAUGCCUGACUUACAUUCUGUAGUGAAACAGAAAAAAAAAAACAUGGCGAUUGGUCAUUUAGCUAUAUUUCAUUUUUCUAUUUCCCUGCUGUUGUCACACAAAAUUGUUUGUGUUUUGCAAGAUGCGUUUAGCGUAUGAUCGCAUACCGACUGCGAGUCUGUUCGCAUUUGAUAGUAGCCGACCCAGGUAAAGGUCAACAUCUAAAAUCCUUUUGUUCUGCAUUCGGCCUUUUUCUACUCAGGCAAGCUUUCUAAAUGUUACCAUAUUAAAUGGUAGAAUGAUACCAAAUUCUAUUUGAAAUAUUGUCAGAUGACAGGGAAAGGUGUGAAAUACUGAUCAAGCAACACUUUUUAUUAACUCGAGUUUGUAACUUGUUAAACAUUAGCGUCUCAAGUCUUAGCAUGUUAGCAUUUGAUCACAAAUCCGACUAGAAAUAGUCCCCAAAGAUUAGGCAACGUCACCGAAGUCACGUGACUGGCCGUACUGCCGGUCAAGCAAAGCACGGCUCAAUGCUAAGUCGGUUGGAGACGACGCGAAAAUAUGUCUCAUAGCACGACGCCCAGAGUUUUGUACGAUACCGUUGAACACUUUGAAAUUGAUAAUAAAUGAAGCUACGUGGAAAAAAUGAGAGACACUUGGUUGGCAUUGACGACCCAUAUUUAAUGCAGAAGUUUUCGCCGAUAAAAAAUUGGACUGUUAACCCGCUUCCGCUUGUAUUGGACAACUGGAUCUACACAUGAAUCUGGUGAGUAAGUAGUCGAGAUUUACACGGAAAAGUUUAAAAGUGUAGAAAAGUCUGGAUGCAUAAAAAUACUUCAUUGCUGGAUCUGUUCUCAGUCAAUCCCACAUCGUGAUGU